rnacentral:rRNA from 1 species
GUCCACGCCCUAAACGAUGUCAACUGGUUGUUGGGUCUUCACUGACUCAGUAACGAAGCUAAACGCGUGAAGUUGACCGCCCUGGGGAGUACGGCCGCAAGGUUGAAAACUCAAAAGGAAUUGACGGGGGACCCGCACAAGCGGUGGAUGAUGUGGUUUAAUUCGAUGCAACGCGAAAACCUUACCCACCUUUGACAUGUACGGAAGUUACCCAGAGAUGGUUUUCCGUGCUCGAAAGAGAACCGUAACACAGGUGCUGCAUGGCUGUCGU